ensembl:lncRNA
GGGGGGGUGUAUUGUUUUGGUUGCUGAUAUGCACUGUCUGUACAAGAAGUAAGCUUGUAUUUUGGUGAAUUUCAUACAUAGGUGACCACUGUCAUCUACUUAAUGGAUCGUCAAUGAUUGUUUGCCUUCACGUUCACUUUUGUUCUUUGCCAAAGGUACUGUGGUGGUGUCUGUUUUACUCGUUUCAGGGGCAUCUACCUUCAGAGAAGCAGAGCUGUGAAAUGACUCAUUUGGUGAACUGCAUCCUCUGUAGUCUUACACCAGUUUAUACACCAGUUGUGCUGUGUAUAAAUUUUUAUUCUGUUUUAAUGUUUUGAUCAGUGUUAAGACCUGUAACACACUAAUCACAUCAGGUGGUAAAUGUUGGGUUUUUCAUACACUAUACAUUUGUGAAGUUUUGCCAAUGACCAAGAACCACCAGCCGAACAACUAUUGUGCAAAUGUUUGGUGUUGUGUGGUUGUAACUUAUUUUUGCGCAGACCUGACACAGCACCCAGCGCAACACAGAACUCUAAGAUGAUGUGAAAAAGUGCUUUACUCACUUUUCUUUCUUUCUCCAUCUGUAUAAGGUCUAGCACUUUAAUUAUCACAGAAGGGAGGGUGGUUCAAUCAAUGUAACAACUUUCCACGCUUGAACAAUCAGUACUAAAGUGGUUUUAAUGCAUUAGUGUUUCUGUCGUUGACGCAAAUGGAAGUUGUUUUUUUGUUGUUGUUUUUUUUACACUAAACAAGUUUUUGUUUUUUGUCUUUUCUUUCUGGGGUUUUCACUGAAUUUCAUCCCACAUUCAGGAGGACCAGUACAUGAUGUUGAAAGGAUUGUGACUGACUGUAAAUGCAUUUUAAACUGUUACUUCAGACUGGUUAUAGCCUGUGUUGUUUUUUUUGUUGGUUUUUUUUUUUAAUGUACAUAGUGUUUUUAUGUAUAAAUGAGAAAAAAGAACAAAGAAAAUGCCACUACUUGAAAUUUUAUUUGCUUCAUUCCAAAAAAGGCAGUUUUCUUUGUGAAAUUGUUUUUAGUGUGUUCUCAGUAGACAUUUGAUGUGAAUAUGUACUACUUUUUUUUUUUUUUUUUUUAACUUUUUUUUUUUUUCUGUUUUUCAAAUAAAUCAAGACAUCAUGGCGCGUCUAAGUGUCACCUUUGAAGCACUGCACAUUUGCACAGUAAAAUCUUAUUUCACAUUAUCUAGAUCUGGGUUGGUUCUGCAUUCUUUCCCACUCCAGCUCCCAGCAAAAAAGAUGGUAGAUAACAGUGUAAUAAGGCUUGUAUCGUUCUAAGUCUAGGUGCGCAUUGAACGCAAAAGAAAUUGGCCCCCACUCACGCACUACUCAAGAAAGAAAAAACAGGAUCACCCUUUAAAGUGCCGUUUAUUUGCUUCAGCAGUGAGCAAUGCCAAAAGAAUAUACAAAACUCCCUAAAGGUUCCUAUGCUUCCCUAUACAAAAGAAAUCAAACCAAAAGACAGUUCACUUACCUAACAUUCUAAAAGAAAAACAGGAGAAAACUGAAUCAACAAAAAAUGGCUUCUCACGCCUAGCAGGCU